rnacentral:rRNA from 1 species
AUGAACGAGUCACUUUGUAAACCGUAUACAGAAACAGAAAUUUCGGAUGCCCUCUUUCAAAUCGGCCCGUUAAAGGCCCCGGGGUGUGAUGGUUUCCCGGCAAGAUUUUACCAGCGGAACUGGGCGACUUUGAAGGUGGAUAUUGUGGCGGCGGUGCAGGACUUCUUCAUCACUGGCAGUAUGCCAGAUGGAGUUAAUGACACGGCGAUCGUACUGAUUCCAAAAGUUCCCCAUCCAAAGGAAUUAAAGGACUUCAGACCGAUUAGCCUGUGUAACAUGGUGUAUAAGGUUGUUUCUAAAUGCAUGGUCAACAGACUACGACCUCUCCUGGCUGGACUCAUUUCGGAAAAUCAAAGCGCUUUUAUUCCAGGGAGGCUCAUAUCUGACAACUCCAUCAUUGCCUUUGAGUGUAUUCAUCAUAUCCAGGUAGCAAAAAACAAUUCUCCCGCCUUAUGUGCCUAUAAGCUUGAUCUAUCCAAGGCCUAUGAUCGGGUGGAUUGGGAGUUUUUGGAGAAGGCUUUAGCUAAAUGGGGCUUUUCUCAGAUCUGGAUUUCUCGUGUGAUGGCAUGUGUGUCUUCGGUGAAAUAUUCGGUAAAAUUUAAUGGCAAGUUAUUGGAGGCGUUCACCCCAUCCAGGGGGCUCCGCCAAGGUGAUCCGCUAUCCCCCUUUCUCUUCCUUUUUGUAGCUGAUGCUCUUUCUUCUCUCAUAAAGAAGGCUACAAGGGAGGAUGAUCUUCAGGGGGUCAAAAUCAGCAGAAGUGCUCCAGAGAUUUCUCAUCUUCUGUUUGCGGACGACUCUCUCCUGUUCUUCCAUGCGACAGAGCAGCAGGCAACUUUGGUAAAAGGUUUGUUGAACACGUAUGCAUCGGCGACGGGACAACUAAUCAAUCCGUCGAAGUGUUCUAUCCUCUUUUCGAAUCAUUGCCAGCCUAAUGUUAUACAGGAGGUAAAGAAUGUGUUGGAGAUUACUCACGAGGUUUUUGAACCUAAAUACUUGGGCUUGCCAGUCCCUGAAGGAAGAAUGCACAAAGUUAGAUUUGAAACUACUCAAGAUCGGUUGCGGAAGAGGCUUGUGGAUUGGAGUGAGCAAUAUAUGUCCUCGGGCAAUAAAGAGAUUCUCAUCAAGGCCGUUGCCCAGGCCAUUCCUACUUAUGUGAUGAGCGUGUUCAAGCUUCCAGCAUCGGUUUGUGACGAACUUACACGUAUGAUUCGCCAAUACUGGUGGGGUGUUGAGAAGGGAAAAAGGAAGAUGGCAUGGAUGAGUUGGGAUAAGUUGAGGCUUCCUAAGUCCAUGGGGGGUAUGGGCUUCCGCGACAUGAGAUCGUUUAAUCAAGCCCUGUUAGCCAAACAAGCGUGGAGGCUUCUGGAUUCCCCCGAGAGUUUGUGCUGA